AAAAAAAUUAUCCUUUCUUGGAUAUUUUAAAAGCCAUCAAAUGGAGUCCUGUAUCUCCAAGCAAACACACUAAAGAAUUUCUACUUUUUCAACUAUAAUAAGACUGUCAUGCAAUCAUUUGUACAAUUUCCAUCAAUUUCUCUGCCUUAAACCCUCUCCACAAUGAUUUAAACCCAAUACAUAGAAUAUAUAAGUUCAAAUUUCCACAGCCAGUAAAUUAUUAUCUUCUUUUUAGAACAAAUAUUGAGUCUUUGAAUAAAGGCAGGUUACAGAUAGGAGCUUUGAGGGAGAGUGUGUCAUUCUUGGGAGUCAAGGAGGGGUAAAAAUGGGACUCUAUAGAGGACGGGAAGGGUGGCUACGGUGAGAUUCGAAAAAUGCUUUAACGGUAUUGGUGUAGGAGGAGGUGGCGGCAGCAGUUGUGGGAAGGUUAAAAGUGAAAUUGCGCGAGUUUUGGGGAAUCAUGCUUUGGCAAUUCUCUUGACAUAUCUCUUUAUGAUUGGGCAAGUGGGUUGGCUUCUCGAUGCUAUUGUGGCCCUCUGGCUGGUUAAUUCCCAGUUUACUUGUUGCAGCUGUGUCCUUUUUGUAGUCAGCCAUUCUCAGGUAAGAGAUGUAGAUUUAGGCCAACCAUAUCCGAUUUGUAUGUGCCUCGCAUCGUUCUUUUACUUCUUGUAGUGGUAGGUGAUGAGUUUGUAGCAGGUCAAGUUCUCCAAUGAAUCCACAAUAUUCGACCAAGCAUUCAGUGACUUCUCUCCUUUUACAAAGAAAGAUUUGCUUCAACUCUGUACAUCAGAUUGAUUACAGAAUGAGGUCACGAAAUUUUUGCCUUAAAGUUUGGCAAUAAAACCCAAAAUUUAUCAAGAUUCUAACUUUCGUUGUCAUCCAGGGAAGCAUUCAUCUGUUUUAAGUUAUUGACGUUGAAGCAGAAAUAAGAGAUGCAGAUUGAGUUUUUUAGUUGUUAUGAACUAAACGAGGGUCAAUUGCGCUCGUUCCAGUCAACACAAGGUUACUACUGGAAUCUCAACAUACAAUUAUAAAGAAAAAUGAAGAAAAGGAGCUUCUAACACUUCCACCCUGAUCCGAGGUUAUCAACAACAAGUGACAUCUCAAAGAGAUCAUAAUCUGCAUCCGAUCUAGAAUCUAA